GGGCUCGUGGUCUAACGGCUAUGACGCUUCCUUCGCAGGGAAGAGACUGCGGGUUCAAAUCCCGCCGAGUCCA
rnacentral:tRNA from 1 species